rnacentral:rRNA from 1 species
AUUGAACGCUGGCGGCAGGCCUAACACAUGCAAGUCGAGCGAGCGGCGGACGGUUGAGUAAUGUAUGGGGACUGCCCUAUAGAGGGGGAUAUCUACUGGAAACUGUGGCUAAUACCGCAUACUAUCGGAUAACCCAUAUGGGAUUAGCUAGUAGGUGGGGUAAAGGCUCACCUAGGCGAAGGUCUCUAGCGGGUCUGAGAGGAUGAUCUGCCACACUUGGACGGUGACCCGGCCCAGACUCCUACGGAGGCAGCAGUGGGGAAUAUGGCACAAUGGGCGCAAGCCUUAUGCAGCCAUGCCGCGUGUAUGAAGAAGGCCUUAGGGUUGUAAAGUACUUUCAGCGGGGAGGCGGUACCCGCAGAAGAAGCACCGGCUAACUCCGUGCCAGCAGCCGCGGUAAUUC